rnacentral:rRNA from 1 species
UACGAAAGGUGCAAGCGUUGUUCGGAUUGACUGGGCGUAAAGCGCAUGUAGGCGGGCUAAUAAGUCAGCUGUGAAAGCCCCGGGCUCAACCUGGGAAUUGCAGUUGAAACUGUUAGUCUUGAAUAUCUGAGGGGUUGAUGGAAUUCCAGGUGUAGCAGUGAAAUGCGUAGAUAUCUGGAGGAACACCAGAGGCGAAGGCGCUCAACUGGCAGAAUAUUGACGCUGAGAUGCGAAAGCAUGGGGAGCAAACAGG